rnacentral:rRNA from 1 species
ACGGGUGAGUAACACGUGGGUAACCUGCCUGUAAGACUGGGAUAACUCCGGGAAACCGGGGCUAAUACCGGAUGGUUGUUUGAACCGCAUGGUUCAAACAUAAAAGGUGGCUUCGGCUACCACUUACAGAUGGACCCGCGGCGCAUUAGCUAGUUGGUGAGGUAACGGCUCACCAAGGCAACGAUGCGUAGCCGACCUGAGAGGGUGAUCGGCCACACUGGGACUGAGACACGGCCCAGACUCCUACGGGAGGCAGCAGUAGGGAAUCUUCCGCAAUGGACGAAAGUCUGACGGAGCAACGCCGCGUGAGUGAUGAAGGUUUUCGGAUCGUAAAGCUCUGUUGUUAGGGAAGAACAAGUACCGUUCGAAUAGGGCGGUACCUUGACGGUACCUAACCAGAAAGCCACGGCUAACUACGUGCCAGCAGCCGCGGUAAUACGUAGGUGGCAAGCGUUGUCCGGAAUUAUUGGGCGUAAAG